rnacentral:lncRNA from 1 species
CGAAUUGCUCAAGAGUAAAAACUGUACUCUUGAGCAGGGAAAAUCAUCAUGGGAUAAUCUAGUUAAGUUCGAGGAGUAUGUAAUGGAACAGAUUAACAACUAUGCAGCGUCCCCUGAGAUUUUCUUGCGGGAAAGCAGCUUCAUGAAAUGGUGGGGACUGUAUGAGGGCUACAUAGAUACUUGCAGUAAUUCCCAUGGGUCGCAAUUGAUCAACUUCAUGAAGAAACGUAGCUAUAUGAAGUAUGGUUAGAGGGGCAAUCCAGUUUGUGUGUUGUGUUUAUUGUUUUGUGAGCGUUCAAUGGAUAAAACUAGAAAGAGUGUGACCUUUUUCCCUUUUUCUUGGUUGCUGCCCAUAUUCUCAGCACUAUUUUCUUCCUUCUUUUCCUCUGUUUUUUUUGAUAGGAAAUGAAUAUUAUGAUGUUGCUGGGAUGCACUUNNNNNNNNNNNNNNNNNNNNNNNNNNNNNNNNNNNNNNNNNNNNNNNNNNNNNNNNNNNNNNNNNNNNNNNNNNNNNNNNNNNNNNNNNNNNNNNNNNNNAGGGGAAGAAAAACAUGUUUGUUUAGAUUCAACUCCACCAAAACUUGCAACAACUUCCCAUUGAAAAUUUCCUUUUAAGCUUCUGACUGACAUAAAACUAGAUAUGUUCCAGCUAGAACGGUACAAGAAAGAAAUCAAAAGAUGAGCACAAGUAGAGAGGAAGCCUCACCAGGAAGGGGCAGCUUUGCAAACCCUCUGGCUCUGUACAGGAACGAAUUAUAGAAAGAUGGUUGAACCACUUGACAUUGCUGCCUACCACAGAGAGGGUGGAAGACACUACAUAACCAAUGGAGGAUCUAAACAUUACACGCUAUUGGAGCAAUGAUGCAAUGAAGAGGAGAAGGGGGCUUUGUCUUCUCAUGCAAAUUGCUCUCAGAGCUCAGAACCUACUCCUGAAGGGAAAGAAUCAUCAUGGAGUGAUCUGGUUAAGUUUGAGGAUUUAUUUAUAUAAUUGAACUGAUUGGAAGCUAUGCAGUGUCGGCCCCCGCCCGAGCAGCUUCAUGAAACGGUGGAAAGAGUUGGAAGAAGUCAUAGAUACUUGCUAUAGGAGCUUCAUGAAGUAUGGAGAGGUGUGGCAUAGAUACUUGCAGUCUCUGAAUUUCCCAAAUCCAAUUUCAGAUUGUGUUUUUAGAUUCGUGGAACUUGUUUUCGGGCUUUUUGUUAGGUACAAUUGAGAUGGGCUGAACCGAAAGGCCCGCCAGGAUGAACAAUAUAAUGGGCCUGAAUUUUAAACCAGUGGAUGGGUUUUGUACUGGAUUCAGCUGUCUGAGCCCAAUGAGUAUUGAAUGUGUUUCUGUAUAAAAUUAAAUUUUUAACAUUGAAAUAUAAGGACUUACUUAAAAACACAUUUGGUAACUUUUUUUUUUUUUGGUUAAUAAUAAAUUUUUUUAAAAAAAAUUAAAAAUAUAUAAUUUUUUUAGAAUAAAUUUGAGGCAUGUUUAGGUAUUUUUUGUGGUAAAGAGUUUUGAGAAGCAAUGAGAAAUAUACAGAAUACUUUAAAAACUUUUGCAUAAGUAAGAUACUUACACGAGGCUUUUAUGAAAAAUAAAUCGAUAAAAACAAUUUUUAUAUUUGAAUUUCAAAACAUAAAACAACUUAGAACUGUUUUUAAAAACUGUUCUUAAAAAUAGUUUUCUAUUAACUCACAUUCAAGGAUGCUUUUAUCUUUUAUUUUUCUAUGUUUCAUCCUUGCAUAAAUGGAGUACAAAGUCGUAAGUUAAUCUAAUUAACAAAUAUAGAUAAUCAUCCGAUAAAUGAGUAAAUUAGGUGAUGAUCUCUUUAUAUAUGCAAGUAAUGGAAUGAAUGUGAUAAAAAAAUAAAAUAAAAAAGUAAGGGGAGAAAUGUUGUAAAUAAAAUGUUUUUAUUGUGGUUCAACGACCUAUCCACUUCCACACCUUGACAUAUUUCACAAUUUUAAAAGUUUUUUUAAUCAUGAUUCUCCUUAUUGUUCUUUAAGUCUGGAUUUCUUAAGUUUCAAUAGACUUUUACAAUCACUAAGAUGACGUUUGUUUUUUCACUUAAUUCUAAAUAUAAGUUAAAACUAAAUAAUAUUUAAUAAUAUCAAGUAUUAGGUUGUUUUUUUUAUAACAUUUUAUUUCUAUAUAAUAUUAAAAAGUAAAGAAAAAUCAGUAUGUUUUUUUUUUAUUUAAAAAAAGUCAAAUAUUUUGACUUUUUUUUAAGCUAAAAAUUUAUAAUAAAAAAUAAAAAAUAAACAAACAAACAAACAACUUGAAGUGUAAAAACAGAUUGUUUUCAAUAAAAAUUUUAAAAAAUAAACACCUUAUAAAUAAAAUUCCUUAACCACUCGUACAAUAGCUUCUUUAAGCACAAAAUGUAUUGAAGCGCUCACAAUGAAAAGAUAAACAAGUUUGGAUUUAAUAUAAUUUUGGGUUAUCUAAUUAAAAAGGUGUAGACCCCCGGAGGCAGACAGUUUUUUUAGUUAUUAUUAUUAUUUGUUUAUUUUUAAUUUUUCCUACCUUUUUCUUCCCAAGCCGCUCGACAUGAUGGGACUAAAGUGGGCUGGUUUUUGGGGCAGAGAGGGGACUCAAGUGGGCGUUUUUUUUUUUUUUUGGGCGGCAGAUGGGAUGGUGUACGGGGGAUGGCUUGUGGAGGAAGACUCAAAACAGGGGAAGGAAGCGAAAGAAAGGCAGGAAAAAAAGUGUUGGAGGACGGGGGGGAUACCUUGCUCAAGGAGAAAACUUUCAGGUAAAAUUUUCUGUGAACUCCAUGUUUCUUCGUUAUGACAUUAUUGUGCUCACUUCUUUUGUUGAUUCCAGGAUGUGAUUUGUUGGUCGGUUUGGAUGUCAUGGAUUAUUGGUUUAUUUUUGCUGAAUUUAUCCGUGUGCGGAGGUGCUCUGUUUGACUCUAUUCUGGUUUCCCUAACUCCUUCCAUAAGCACCUGAAUGUAUGAAUUCAUCCCUGAGCCCGAUUAUAUAAAAAUCAUGCUUUGUUCCCUGUGGUUUCUUCCCUCUGUUUGUUGCUCUAUUCCUUGUUGGUUGUGGGAAUGAGGUCAUCGAUGGCCAGGUUAUCGAAACUGGGGAAGUGACUUCGUGAACGGAUCACCUUCUAUGCACCCAUCUCAUCUUUCUCAUUCACUCAUCACGGCUACACUUCCAUGAUUACACCAUCCUCAGUCAAAUACAUAUCUCCAUACCCAUUUUUCACCUUUCCCGUACCUUCCUCACCUAUCCAUCACACCCAUCGUCAUAUCUAGUUCAUCACUAACCCAUUUUCCUCUCGCCAGCCGUGGUUAUGCUUCGUCCAUCUCAUGCAUACGAUCCCUCACUACUAUUCCUAUAUUCUCAUCCUUCCAAACUCCUCAACACAACACCUAACCCUCAUACCUGCACCCCGCCAUGCCCGCGCCUAGCUCACCCCCAUAGGAACCUCAAAGCCGUUCGCCUACUUGCAUGGGAGCCAUGCAUGCCGCCCCUCCCCGCGUCUUCCUGCACCGGCUAUGUGCGCGCCUGCACCAGCCACCAAUGGCGGCAGCGCCUUCUGGACGUCGCCAGGCCGCUGCCACCUGCUCCGGCAACGCGCGCGCCUGCACCAGCAGCCAUGGCGGCGGCACCUUCUGAACGUCACCAGACCGCCGCCACGGCUCCCCUCUUCCCCGCGCCGCCGCUGCUCCUCUUUUCCCCGCGCCGCCAUGGCUCUCCUCUUCAUCGUGCCGCCGGUGGAGUCUUCGCGGGUGGAGAGGCAAUUGGUGAAGAGAAGCUUUGCCCAUGAUGGUUUUUGGGCUUGGGUUUGAACUGGGAACCCAGGCCCAAGCCUAUGAAGAGAAGCCCAGGUUUAUGAAGGCUUUAAUUGCCUUGGGCUUGCCCAUUAAUAUCAUAUGGAUUGGGCUUGAUGAGGAUGGGGCUUAUUGGUGGAUUUGGGCUUGACUAGGUUUGGGCUUUAUUAGGGUUGCUGAUGGACUGGGUUUGGGCUCUAUUAUUAUUAUUAAUUCAACAUUUAAAAUACUAUUAUUAUCAUUGUUAUUAAUCAAACUUUUAAAAAUCUUAUUAUUACUAUUAUUAUUAUUACGUUUAUCAUUAUUAUUAUUUCUAUUCAACAUUUAAAAUAUUAUUAUCAUUAUUAUUAUUAAUUCAACAUUUAAAAUAUUAUUAUUAUCACUAUCAUUAAUCCAAACUUUCAAAACCCUAUAAUUAUUAUUACUAACCCAAAUUUCAAAAUCUAUUUAUUUAUUAUUAUUUAUUAUUAUCAUUAAUCCAAAUUUCAAAAUCUAUUUAUUAUUGUUAUCCUUAUCAUUAAACCCAACCUCCAAAAUCUCAUCAUUAUCAUUAUUAUUAAUUCAAACUUUCAACACCUAUUUAUUAUUAUUUAUUAUUAUCAUCAGUCCAAACCUCCAAGAUCUCAUCAUUAUUAUUAUAAUUAACUCAACUUUCAAAAUUUAUUUAUUAUUAUUAUCAUCAUUAAUCCAAGCUUUCAAAAAUCUCAUCAUUAUUGUUAUUAUUACCUCAACUUUCAAAAUCUUAUUUUUAUUAUUAUCAUUGAUUAAAACUUUCAAAACCUUAUUAUUAUUAUUAAUUCAAACUUUCUAACUUCCAAUUUCCAAGCCCAAUUUAUAAAAAUUCAACCUUCAAAUGAUACUCCAAAAUUCCGAUCUUUAAAACUCAAUUUCGAUUUCCGAAAAUUCUCAUACUCACUUUAAUCUAUUUAAUUAUUGUUAUUUUGAUUAUUUAUUUCAAAACCCCAUUUCAAAUCAAAUUCUCUAAAACUUCUGAUUCUCGAAUUAAAUUCCUAAUCCCAAAAAUUCUCAUGUUCGCACUAAAUUAUUUGAUCAUUGAUAUUUUAUUUAUUUAUUUAUUUCAAAACUCCAUUUUAAAUCAAAUUCUCUAAAACUUCUGAUUUCCGAAUUAAACUCCUAAUCCCAAAAAUUCUCAUGUUCUCAUUAAUUUAUUUAAUCAUUAGUAUUUUAUCUCCAUUUUAAAUCAACUCUUUAAAACUUCAGAUUUACAAAUUAAAUUCCUAAUCUUGAAAAUUCCCAUAUUCACAUUAAUUUAAUCACUAAUAGUUUGUUUAUUUAUCUUAAAAUUCUAUUUUAAACAAUUCUUUAAACUUUCUAACUUCUAAAUCUAAUUUCCAAUUUCAAAAAUUCCAGCAUUCCAUUCAUUUAUUUAAUCAUUAUUUUCGUCCUUAUUAUUAUUAGUCCAUUUAUUUACUUCAAAAUUUCAUUUUUAAACAUUUUUUUGAAUCCCAAUUUUCGAACUUAAUUUCCAAUUUCUAAAAUUCUAAUUUCCUUCAAGUUUGACAUCCCAAAAUUCCAACUCUUAAAUUUAAUUCUCAAGACUCCAAUCUUCAAAUAAUUUUCGAGACUCCAAUUUCCAAAUAAAUUUCAAAAAUUCAAUUUUCUCUCUAACAGUUUUAAUUCUCUUCGGGUUUCAAAUAAUCUUCGAUUUCUCUUGAUUUUAUAUAAACAUGAAUGCUAUUUUCAUAAUUCCAGAAUAAUGGGAUUUGUGAUAUUAAUUCCUGCAAAAAUGAAUGGGCUUUGGUGGGGGCCCAACAUACGUGCUUUCCUCAUGAUUGAUUGAUUGUUUGAUUGAUUUAAUUGCCAUGCGUGCUUGAUUUUAUUCUGCUCUAUGGCAUGCCCGAAAUUAUCCUUUAAUUGUGCACUAACCUCACUUUUUGAUAAGCGCAUUGUGGCUCGUCACCCAGGUACGUAUCUAUCCCCAUUCUGAUAUUUCCAUAUACAUGUUUUGAUUCUCCUAUGUGCAUGAUAGUUCCGGGUAUUCAUUGUUUUUCCUCAUCAAUUGCCAUGAUUGCUUCAUUUUAUUAGUAGAGACCCAUUUAGGGACUUAGAGGGGUGCUACGGUUCAUACCGUACCUUCCUGAUAAGUAACCUGACCCUCGGACCCGAUCCGGUUUUUCACAGACCACCUUUUCCAAAGUAAGGAGUCACACUUAGGGUUUUUCUUUCUUAUUUUGUUUACCCUUUUAAAAAUAAAACAAAAAUAAGUGGCGACUCCAAGUCAUUUUCUUAAACAAUAAAAAAUCAAAUUUUCAAAUAAAAAUCGAGUCCGCCAUUGAGUGGGAAACGCAUGAGCCGAAAUGCGGGGUCCACAAAAGGUCAUUGAAAACCCAAUUUUAGAAAUAUAACCCUUCAUCAUUUUUUUUAUCUCAUGUUAACAAAAAUGCUCUUAUUAUUUUCUUAUAAAAAUAAUCAUUUCUUUUAAAACACACUAUAAAUACUCCAAAUAGUCAGGGGCUUUUAUGUAUAAAAAAAUGAAUUACUCUUUAAAUAAAAAUAUUGGAGGGAAUAAAUUAACAAAUAUGAGGUAUUUCAUCCCUUUUAUCUAAUUAUUUCUAUAAUUUUAAGAGUUUAAGAAGGCUAGACAAAGACUAAUUAUUAGGCACAUUUUGUAAAAACACUAGUUAUUAGACACAUUUUUCGCUCAAUCAAUCAAUCACGGAGUUGACUAGACACUAAUUAUUGGACUUUUUUUUUUUUUUUUUUAUAAUAAGUGAAAGACAAGAAUACAAUCGACUACUUUGGUCAAUUAAACAAUCAUUCAGUUGACUAUAAACUAAUCUUUAGAUUUUUUUUUUUAUAAUAAUUGGAAGACAUGAAUACAAUCGAUUACUUUGAUUAAUUAAUCAAUUAUUCAAGAAAUUUAGAAAAAUAUUGGAUAAAAGAUAUAUAUAACGGAUUAUUUCAAAUUGAAACUUAAGAUUAUAAAUCUUACUUUUAAUGUUGAAAAAUCAUGUAAAACACAAGUUUUUAUCUUUGAAGUAAUCAAUUUCAUUUUUCACAAAAAAUCAUUAAUAAUGCAUGAAUGAAUUCUUUUAAAAAAUCUUAUAAAAAAUGUGAUUAUUUUUCAUUCCCAAAUACUUAGGUUCUAAAGAUCAAUUUUAAAGCAUACUUAUCCUUACUAUGCCUUACAAGAAAAUCUAUUCUAUACAUAUGAUCUUGUAAAAAAAUGUAAAUAAAAAAAUAAAAUAAAAUAAAAAGAAAAAAAAAAGCCUCUCUUGUUUUCCUCUUUUGACUGGAUAUCAUUACCAUACCUAAAAUUAAAUAUUUAAUUAAAAUAUUAUUUUACUAUCAUCAAAAUUUAGAUUUAACCAAACUUUAGGCUAGUAUGUUGAUACGAUAAGUUAAUUUUCUAUCUUAAAGUUUUAAAAACUUUUGAAAUUAAACAUUUUCUUACACAUUUAUUUUUAAAGUUUUUUAGCAUAAAAUUUAAAAUUGAAGCUUUUAAGGGAAAACCUCAUAAUAUAAUAUACUAGAAAGACAUGGUCAAACAAAUAGAGACGAAGCCUCAAAAGGAAGGGGCAAUGGUUGAACCACUUGACAUUGUUGCCUACUACUAAGAUGGUGUAAGAAACAACAUAACCAAUGGAACAUAUGCACAUUAAACAUUGUACAAUUAUUAUAAAUGUCUUAUACAUUAUGUGUGAAAAUACGAAAUAAAUAAAUAAAAUUAUAUUCAACAUUUAUAUUUGUAUACAAACAAUAUUUUCGAUAGUUUGAUAUAAAAAAACAAAUAAAAAAAUGAAGAAAAGCAUAUAAAUAUAUUUUCAAUGGACAAACUUAUUCAAUUAGUAUAAAUAUCUUGUAUAUUUAAUACAAAUACCUUAUACUUUGUGAAAAUGUAAAAAUAUAGUAUUUGAUAUUUAUAAAUGUGGGUAAGUAAUUUUUCUAAUGGUUUGAUUUAAAAAAAAAAUAAUGAGAAUCAAGAAAUACAUGCAAAUAAAUUAGUGUGAAUGAUAAAGGAUGUUUUUUUACCAUAAAUUUUCAUGGACUUAGCAUCAAUUAUGCAUCUAUAGAUGUUAACCCAAUUAGCAUAAUGUGAAAACCCUUACACACAAUAUAUAAACCCUAUACUUGAAUUAGGAAGGACAAAAAAAAAAUAGUUAGAGCAUUUGGUACCAUCAAUGAUGACUUCACCUAAAGAAAAGUUAAUGAACAUUAUGUUCUCAAUGGAAGAGCAACCCUAGUAGGACAUAUGGAGUAAAUUGAUGCUCUUCUUUCGACAACGAAGUAGCUAAGUCAUGAAAAUGGGGUUUUGCUAACAACAUUAAAUGCAAGAAUUCCCCAAUAUACUGCAAUUCAUAUUCAAUUCAUAGACUUUCAACUAACUACUCUCAAUAACGAGCAAACCCAAGUCAAUACAUAAGAUUGAUUAUUACUUAUGAUAAUUGAAACCAUAAUUAAUAAGACAUAUAUAUAUAUAUAUAUAUAUAUAUAUAUAUAUAUAUAUAUAUAUAUAUAUAUAUAUAUAUAUAUAUAUAUAUAUAUAUAUAUAAAAAAAAUAGAGACAAUUGUGUUUUGGAUCCAGGUGGAUCAAAAAAUAAGGUUUGGUUUAUAGAACUUACAUAAUUGAUGGAAAUGAUAUAAGUUAUCAAAAGACCAAAAUACUCAUUGACCUUUCACGUAAGUUUUUUUGGUCUUUAUUGUACCACUAUUCAUGCAACCAUAAUAAUUUUAUUUUAACUAUUUGGAUUUUUCAUUGUUUUUUAAAACUUUUUUUUUUAUAAAUAAUUGAAAAUCAACAUUAUUUUCUAUUUUAAAUUAUAAAUAAAGAAAAAUUACGUUCAAAAACUAUUUUAAAAAAUACUUUCUAAAAAAAUGGUAAUAUGAUUUAUAUUUUUUACAUUUUCUAUUAGAAAAAAAUAUUUAAUUAAAAAUGAAAAAUAAUUUUUAAAAAUAAAAAUUGAAAACCUUGUUUAGUACUAUUUUUUUAUAUGAAAAUAAUAAAAAUAAUUAAAUUUCAUUAAUUGAUUAUCCAUUAAAUUUUAUAUGAAAAUUUUUUAUAAGAGUAAAAAGAUUCAAUAUCUUUAAAAAAAGAAAAAAAAAACAAAACAAAACAAUAAGUUAGAAAUGAGUAAUACUUAAUUGGGAAUAGAAAAGGGGAAAAAAUUGAAAUUUACACUCAUUAUAUGCCUAUGUAGGGAUUAAAGGUAUUUUAGGGAUUAAUGAAGGAUAAUAUCCUUUAACUUAAUUUUUAUAAUUUAUUUGGGUCUUGACCUUAAAUGUGCAUGAUAUAUGGAUCUUUGGUCAAUUUUUGGGCCCAUUCGGGCCCAAAAUACAAUUCUCCCUACAAAAAUAUUUAUUAAAAUAAAUUAAUUAAUAAAAGCCAUUUAAAGAGUUUCAUAACUUAGUAUCGAAGCUAUUGUAAGAAAAAAGUAUUAUAUAAUGUAGGGUUUAGGUUCAAAGUCUACCUAAGAUUAAAUUUAAGUCUCGAGACAAAUUCACAUUCAAAACUAGGUUUUUAAGUUUGAAAAAUAGAUCCCUUAAACAAAUUAAAUGGUAAAAAAUAAUUACAAAGAAAAUUUCUCUAGCUGGUUUCUUCAUCUUGAAAACUAACGGAAACAUAUAUUAAUAUUUGGUAUGAAAAUUCGUAACCUUAGAAACACAGCUUUGAGUCUUGCUGAGAAAAACAAAGCUUAUUUGCUCGUAGACCAUCGUAGUGGUCGUCAUACCGUGUGAGGACCGGGGAAGCAUCUUUGCUCGUAGACCGGCUUUUGUAGUCUUUCUUUAACAAUUACAAGUUGUCAGGAUUCCCUUCAUCCUCCCAAAUAAUAUUGUUUUUGGUCUUGUUCUGGUUGCAUCUCCGUGGAAGGAAAGAAGAUGAAUCAAGUUCCUUUGUAAGUAUCAAUGUCUCUGAUUCAUUUUUUGGUUCCUAGAAUCGAAUCCUCGCUCUGUUCUUGCUUAAUUUCUCCUUUUUCUGUUGGGUCUUUCACUGCAGGUUUAGCUCUGCACGGGAACUGGCAAAUUUGGUGCUGAGCUCCAAUCUAAUCGACUGUGCUUUCACCAAAAUUCUUGAACUUAAGAGAGGCCAAACAGCCUUGCCUGUUCAAUACAGACUUUAUCAACUGUCUUCCAAGUGCACAAUUGUAGCUUUUGUCUCUUCACCUGACUGCACUCAAUACCCUCUUCCUGGACAAGGAGAUUUAGAUCGGUCUCCUCUCUUUGACUUCCUCCGUACCGAAGAAUACCCGUCCGUCUCCAUUAACAGAGCAGCAUUAGCCCUCUAUACCCCUCUCCAUGAUCAUCUCUCUGGACUAACAGAUGAGGUCAAAAUCUGAUACUUGUUUGAAUUUUCGUUUCCUUUUCGUUAACAAUUGUGAGACACGAAACAGCUUGACCAUGAGAUCUCCCUCAUGGAGUCGAACUACCUGAAGGAUAAGACGUCACACAUAUCCAUUUUCAUGGCAUCGUCACAUGACCCAUUGAUCGGUUGUGAUUCAACUCUUAAUAGGAACACAGUAGAACUGGUGUUGGUAUAUCUGUCUUUAGAUAAGCUUGCAUAUAUCUUGUCACUGAAAAAGGAAUGUUCAGAAGUGAGAUUAGUGGCAUUAUUCUGACAUGGAUUUCAUAUGGUUACUUGUUUUGCAGUUGACUCAGAUUGAAGGUCAGUUAAUCAUCACUGGGCACUCCCUGGGAGGAUCCGUUGCUUCUCUCUUCACCUUACGCCUGCUAGAUGGCAAUUUAUUAAAACCCAAAUGCCGCCCCUUUUGUAUCACCUUUGGUUCACCCCUCAUAGGCGACUUUGGCCUCCAACACUCCAUAUGGAAUUCUUUCUUCCUGCAUGUAGUGUCUAACCAAGACCCAGUCCCCGGACUCUUCCUCCCAUCCGGCAGAUCUCCGCCCACAUCCUCCCAUUCACAAACUACCGGUUACAAGCCCUUUGGGACAUAUCUCUUGUGCUCUGAACUUGGUUGUGCUUGUUUUGACAACCCUGAUUUAAUUUUGGGAUUGCUUAAAGUCAUAUCAUCAGAGGUUGCCGGAGGAUUGCAGGAUGUUGACUAUGGGGAGAUUUUAAGAAACCUCAAGGAGAGGGCAAUCUGCAAGGGACUGCCGCAGGUGGGUGAACGGUUUGCAGAUCCAUUUUCAGCUGGGAUCAUCAUGGAACUUGAGACAAUUGGAUUUAAUCAAACAAAGGUAAACAGCUUUCUCCCAUCUAAUGAUGUUAUGAAACAUGGUUUACACUACACCAAAUACUGCAAUAACUGCCCUAUUCAGAUUUAUCUUCUUGUUCUUUGGGAUCUUCCAUAACUAGUCUCAUUUUUAAAAUUCAUGGCAGUUGCUGCAGCAUAACAUUGAUAUCAACGCUAUGAUAAGAACAAUGGAAGCGGAAACCAGAAGCCUAAUCCAGAAAAAUAAAGCUUCCGAUGCCAAGAAACUGAAUGACAUAAAAAGAGACAUGGCCCAUCUAGAAUGGUAUAAGAAGAAAUCGGAAAUGGGUUACUACGAUUGCUUCAAAAAUCAGGGGUCUAAAAGGGACAUCAACGUUGAACAAUUUAGGGGAAACCUCACAAUGUACUGGGAAGACAUGGUUGCACAAGUACAGAGGAAGCCCCAGAAGGAAGGAGCAACAUUUCGAACCCGUUGGUUCUAUGCAGGGACAGUUUAUAGGAGAAUGGUUGAACCACUGGACAUUGCUGCCUUCUACAGAGAGGGUGGAACAGACUACAUAAACAAUGGAAGAUCUCUUCAUUACAAGCUGUUGCAGCAAUGGUAUGAAGAAGAUGUGAAACCCCCCUCUAGAGAUAAGCUUGAUUCCAAGAAGCAAAAGGUGUCUGGUAUCCUAACUGAGGAUUCUUUGUUUUGGGCACAUGUGGAGGAGGCCAUCUUGUCAUGCGAAUUGCUCAAGAGUCAAAACUGUACUCUUGAGCAGGGAAAAUCAUCAUGGGAUAAUCUGGUUAAGUUCGAGGAGUAUGUAAUGGAACAUAUUAACAACUAUGCAGCGUCCCCUGAGAUUUUCUCGAGGGAAAGCAGCUUCAUGAAAUGGUGGGGACUGUAUGAGGGCUACAUAGAUACUUGCAGUAAUUCCCAUGGGUCGCCAUUGAUCAACUUCAUGAAGAAACGUAGCUAUAUGAAGUAUGGUUAGAGGGGCAAUCCAGUUUGUGUGUUGUGUUUGUUGUUUUGUGAGCGUUCAAUGGAUAAAACUAGAAAGAGUGACCUUUUUCCCUUUUUCUUGGUUGCUGCCCAUAUUCUCAGCACUAUUUUCUUCCUUCUUUUCCUCUGUUUUUUUGUUAAGAAAUGAAUAUUAUGAUGUUGCUGGGAUGCACUUUCAUUGUUGUUCUAUUACAUUGUGUUUUAUUUAUAUCCUAAACAAAUAAAUCAAAACAAGAAAAUCAAAUAAGACUUAAAGAGUCUUUUCCUUCAAAAAAAAAAAUGGGGAAAAAGAAAAACAUUUUUGUUUAGAUUCAACUCCACCAAAACUUGCAACAACUUCCCAUUGAAAAAUUCCUUUUAAGCUUCUGAAUGAUAUAAAACCAGAUAUGUUCCAGCUAGAAUGGUACAAGAAAGAAAUCAAAAGAUGAGUACAGUGGGUUAUUAUGACAGCUUUAGAAACCUGGGGUGUAAAAGAGACAUUAAAAUGGAACCGAUGGGAAGACAUGGUAGAACACGUAGAGAGGAAGCCUCACCAGGAAGGGGCAGCUUUGCAAACCCUCUGGCUCUGUACAGGAACGAAUUAUAGAAAGAUGGUUGAACCACUUGACAUUGUUCCCUACCACAGAGAGGGUGGAAGACACUACAUAACAUUACACGCUAUUGGAGCAAUGAUGCAAUGAAGAGGAGAAGGGGGCUUUGUCUUCUCAUGCAAAUUGCUCUCAGAGCUCAGAACCUACUCCUGAAGGGAAAGAAUCAUCAUUGAGUGAUCUGGUUAAGUUUGAGGAUUUAUUUAUAUAAUUGAACUGAUUGGAAGCUAUGCAGUGUCGGCCCCCGCCCGAGCAGCUUCAUGAAACGGUGGAAAGAGUUGGAAGAAGUCAUAGAUACUUGCUAUAGGAGCUUCAUGAAGUAUGGAGAGGUGUGGCAUAGAUACUUGCAGUCUCUGAAUUUCCCAAAUCCAAUUUCAGAUUGUGUAUUUAGAUUCGUGGAACUUGUUUUCUUGCUUUUUGUUAGGUACAAUUGAGAUGGGCUGAACCGAAAGGCCCGCCAGGAUGAACAAUAUAAUGGGCCUGAAUUUUAAACCAGCGGAUGGGCUUUGUACUGGAUUCAGCUGUCUGAGCCCAAUGAGUAUUGAAUGUAUUUCUGUAUAAAAUUAAAUUUUUAACAUUGAAAUAUAAGGACUUACUUAAAAACACAUUUGGUAACUUUUUUUUUUUUAUGGUUAAUAAUAGAUUUAAAAAAAAAUUAAAAAUAUAUAAUUUUUUAGGAUAAAUUUGAGGCAUGUUUAGGUAUUUUUCGUGGUAAAGAGUUUUGAGAAGCAAUGGGAAAUAUACAGAAUACUUUAAAAACUUUUGCAUAAGUAAGAUACUUACACGAGGCUUUCAUGAAAAAUAAAUUGAUAAAAACAAUUCUCAUAUUUAAAUUUCGAAACAUAAAACAACUCAGAACUGUUUUUAAAAAUUGUUCUUAAAAAUAGUUUUCUAUUAAGUCACAUUCAAGGAUGCUUUUAUCUUUUAUUUUUCUAUGUUUCAUCCUUGCAUAAAUGGAGUACAAAGACAUAAGUUAAUCUAAUUAACAAAUAUAGAUAAUCAUCCGAUAAAAGAGUAAAUUAGGUGAUGAUCUCUUUAUAUAUGCAAGUAAUGGAAUGAAUGUGAUGAAAAAUAAAAUAAAAAAGUAAGGGGAGAAAUGUUGUAAAUAAAGUGUUUUUAUUGUAGUUCAACGACCUAUCCACUUCCGCACCUUGACAUAUUUCACAAUUUUAAAAGUUUUCUUAAUCAUGAUUCUCUUUAUUAUUCUUUAAGUCCGGAUUUCUUAUGUUUCAAUAGACUUUUACAAUCACUAAGAUAGUGUUUGUUUUUUCACUUAAUUCUAAAUAUAACUUAAAACUAAAUAAUAUUUAAUAAUAUCAGGAUUAGGUUGUUUUUUUUAUAACAUUUUAUUUCUAUAUAAUAUUAAAAAGUAAAGAAAAAUCAAUAUAUUAUUUUUUUCAUUUAAAAAAAGUCAAAUAUUUUGACUUUUUUUUAAGCUAAAAAUUUAUAAUAAAAAAUAAAAAACAAACAAACAAACAAACAACUUAAAGUGUAAAAAUAGAUUGUUUUCAAUAAAAAUUUAAAAAAAAACAAACACCUUCUAAAUAAAAUUCCUUAACCACUCGUUCAAUAGCUCCUUUAAGCACAAAAUGUAUUGAAGUGCUCACAAUGAAAAGAUAAACAAGUUUUGAUUCAAUAUAAUUUUGGGUUAUCUAAUUAAAAGGGUCAUUGAAAACCCAAUUUUAGAAAUAUAACCCUUCAUCAUUUUUUUAUCUCGUGUUAACAAAAAUGCUCUUAUUAUUUUCUUAUAAAAAUAAUCAUUUCUUUUAAAACACACUAUAAAUACUCCAAAUAGCCAAGGGCUUUUAUGUAAAAAAAAAUGAAUUACUCUUCAAAUAAAAAUAUUGGAGGGAAUAAAUUCACAAAUAUGAGGUAUUUCAUCCCUUUUAAAUAAUUAUUUCUAUAAUUUUAAGAGUUUAAGAAGGCUAGACAAAGACUAAUUAUUAGGCACAUUUUGUAAAAACACUAGUUAUUAGACACAUUUUUUGCUCAAUCAAGCAAUCACACAGUUGACUAAACACUAAUUAUUGGACUUUUUUUUUUUAUAAUAAGUGGAAGACAAGAAUACAAUCGACUACUUUGGUCAAUUAAGCAAUCAUUCAGUUGACUAUAAACUAGUCUUUAGACAUUUUUUUUUAUAAUAAUUGGAAGACAUGAAUACAAUCGAUUACUUUGGUCAAUUAAUCAAUUAUUCAAGAAAUUUAGAAAAAUAUUGGAUAAAAGAUAUAUAUAACGGAUUAUUUCAAAUUGAAACUUAAGAUCAUAAAUCUUACUUUUAAUGUUGAAAAAUCAUGUAAAACACAAGUUUUUAUCUUUGAAGUAAUCAAUUUCAUUUUUCACAAAAAAUCAUUAAUAAUACAUGAAUGAAUUCUUUUAAAAAAAUCUUAUAAAAAAUGUGAUUAUUUUUCAUUCCCAAAUAUUUAGGUUCUAAAGGUCAAUUUUAAAGCAUACUUAUCCUUACUAUGCCUUACAAGAAAAUCUAUUCUAUACAUAUGAUCUUGUAAAAAACUGUAAAUAAAAAAGAAAAAAAGAAAAAAAACCUCUCUUGUUUUCCUCUUUUGAUUGGAUAUCAUUAUCAUACUUAAAAUUAAAUAUUUAAUCAAAAUAUUAUUUUACUAUCAUCAAAAUUUAGAUUUAACCAAACUUUAGGCUAGUAUGUUGAUACGACAAGUUAAUUUUCUAUCUUAAAGUUUUAAAAACUUUUGAAAUUAAACAUUUUCUUACACAUUUAUUUUUAAAGUUUUUAGCAUAAAAUUUAAAAUUGAAGCUUUUAAAGGAAAACCUCAUAAUAUAAUAUACUAGAAAGACAUGGUCAAACAAAUAGAGACGAAGCCUCAAAAGGAAGGGGCAAUGGUUGAACCACUUGACAUUGUUGCCUACUACUAAGAUGGUGUAAGAAACAACAUAACCAAUGGAACAUAUGCACAUUAAACAUUGUACAAUUAUUAUAAAUGUCUUAUACAUUAUGUGUGAAAAUACCAAAAAAAAAGAAAAAUUAUAUUCAACAUUUACAUUUGUAUACAAACAAUGUUUUCGACAAUUUGAUAUAAAAAACAAAUAAAAAAAAUAAAGAAAAACAUACAAAUAUAUUUACAAUGGACAAACUUAUUCAAUUAGUAUAAAUAUCUUGUAUAUUUAAUACAAAUACCUUAUACUUUGUGAAAAUGUAAAAAUAUAGUAUUUAAUAUUUAUACAUGUGGGUAAGUAAUUUUUCUAAUGGUUUGAUUUAAAAAACAAAUAAUGAGAAUCAAGAAAAACAUGCAAAUAAAUUAGUGUGAAUGAUAAAGGGUGUUUUUUACCAUAAAUUUUCAUGGACUUAGCAUCAAUUAUGCAUCUAUAGAUGUUAACCCAAUUAGCAUAAUGUGAAAACCCUUGCACACAAUAUAUAAACCCUAUACUUGAAUUAGGAAGGACAAAAAAAAAAUAGUUAGAGCAAUUGGUACCAUCAAUGAUGACUUCACCUAAAGAAAGGUUAAUGAACAUUAUGUUCUCAACGGAGAGCAACUCUGGUAGAACAUAUGGAGUAAAUCAAUGCCCUUCUUUUAACGAUGAAGUAGCUAAGUCAUGAAAACAAGGUUUUGCUAACAACAUUAAAGGCAAGAAUUCCCCCAAUAUACUCCAAUUCAUAUUCAAUUCACAGACCUUCAACUAACUACUCUCAGUAACGAGCAAACCCAAGUCAAUACAUAAGAUUGAUUAUUACUUAUGAUAAUUGAAACCCUAAUUAAAUAAAUAAGGACACAAAUAUAUAUAUAUAUAUAUAGGGACAGUUGUGUUUUGGACCUAGGUGAACCCAAAAAUUAAGGUUUGGUUUAUAUAACUUACAUAAUUGAUGAAAAUGAUAUAAGAUAUCAAAAUAUCAAAAUACUCAUUGACCUUUCACAUAAGCUUUUUUGGUAUUUAUUGCACUACUAUUCAUUCAACCAUAAUAAUUCUAUUUUAACUAUUUGGAUUUUUCAUUGUUUUUUAAAACUUUUUAUUUAUAAAUAAUUGAAAAUCAACAUUAUUUUCUAUUUUAAAUUAUAAAUAAAGAAAAAUUACGUUCGAAAACUAUUUUAAAAAAUACUUUCUAAAAAAAAUGGUAAUAUGAUUUAUAUUUUUUAUAUUUUCUUUUAGAAAAAAAUAUUUAAUUAAAAAAUGAAAAAUAUUUUUAAAAAUAAAAAUUGGAAACCUUGUUUAGUACUAUUUUUUUUAUAUAAAAAUAAUAAAAAUAAUUAAAUUUCAUUUAUUGAUUAUCCAUUAAAUUUUAUAUGAAAAUUUUGUAUAAGAGUAAAAAGAUUCAAUAUCUUUAAAAAAAGAAAAAAAAAACAAAACAAAAAGUUAGAAAUGAGUAAUACUUAAUUGGGAAUAGAAAAUGGGAAAAAUUUUGAAAUUUACACUCACUAUAUGUCUACGUAGGGAUUAAGGGUAUUUUAGGGAUUAAUGAAGGAUAAUAUCUUUUAACUUAAUUUUUACAUUUUAUUUGGGUCUUGGGAUUAAAUGUACAUUAUAUAUGGAUCUUUGGUUAAUUUUUGGACCCAUCCGGACCCAAAACACAAUUCUCCAUAAAAAAAUAUUUAUUAAAAUAAAUAAAUUAAUAAAAACCAUUUAGAGAGUUUCAUAACUUAGGUGGUGUUUGUUUUUUUGGCUUUUUGGUGAAAACCAUUUAGUUUUAGAAUUUAGGUUGUUUGUUUUUUUACUUUUUCAUGACUUAUUAUAAACUUUUUACAAAAUAGAAAAAGCCAAAAUAUAUGACUUUUUCUAAAUAGAAAAAUAACACAAUGGUUUUUUUUACUUUUUAAUACUUAAUAGAAAUAAAAUAUUAUAAAAACAAACAACCUAAUAUUUAAUACUAUUAAGUAUUAAAGUUCUAUUUAGAAUUAAGUAAAAAAACAAACACCACCUAAGUGUCGAAGCUAUUGUAAGAAAAAAGUAUUAUAUAAUGUAGGGUUUAGGUUCAAAGUCUACCUAAGAUUAAAUUUAAGUCUUAAGACAAAUUCACAUUCAAAACUAGGUUUUUAAGUUAGAAAAAUAGACCCCUUAAACCAAUUAAAUGGUAAAAAAAAAUUACAAAGAAAAUUUCUCUAGCUGGUUUCUUCAUCUUGAAAACUAACGGAAACAUAUAUCAAUAUUUGGUAUGAAAAUUCGUAACCUUAGAAACACAGCUUUGAGUCUUGCUGAGAAAAACAAAGCUUAUUUGCUCGUAGACCAUCGUAGUGGUCGUCAUACCGUGUGAGGACCGGGGAAGCAUCUUUGCUCGUAGACCGGCUUUUGUAGUCUUUCUUUAACAAUUGCAAGUUGUCAGGAUUCCCUUCAUCCUCCUAUAUAAUAUUGUUUUUGGUCUUGUUCUGGUUGUAUCUCCGUGGAAGGAAGGAAGAUGAAUCAAGUUCCUUUGUAUGUAUCAAUGUCUCUGAUUCAUUUUUUGGUUCCUAGAAUCGAAUCCUCGCUCUGUUCUUGCUUAAUUUCUCCUUUUUCUGUUGGGUCUUUCACUGCAGGUUUAGCUCUGCACGGGAACUGGCAAAUUUGGUGCUGGCCUCCAAUCUAAUCGACUGUGCUUUCACCAAAAUUCUUGAACUUAAGAGAGGCCAAACAGCCUUGCCUGUUCAAUACAGACUUUAUCAACUGUCUUCCAAGUGCACAAUUGUAGCUUUUGUCUCUUCACCUGACUGCACUCAAUACCCUCUUCCUGGACAAGGAGAUUUAGAUCGGUCUCCUCUCUUUGACUUCCUCCGUACCGAAGAAUACCCGUCCGUCUCCAUUAACAGAGCAGCAUUAGACCUCUUUACCCCUCUCCAUGAUCAUCUCUCUGGACUAACAGAUGAGGUCAAAAUCUGAUACUUGUUUGAAUUUUCGUUUCCUUUUCGUUAACAAUUGUGAGACACGAAACAGCUUGACCAUGAGAUCUCCCUCAUGGAGUCGAACUACCUGAAGGAUAAGACGUCACACAUAUCCAUUUUCAUGGCAUCGUCACAUGACCCAUUGAUCGGUUGUGAUUCAACUCUUAAUAGGAAUACAGUAGAACCGGUGUUGGUAUCUGUCUUUAGAUCAGCUUGCAUAUAUCUUGUCACUGAAAAAGGAAUGUUCAGAAGUGAGAUUAGUGGCAUUAUUCUGACAUGGAUUUCAUAUGGUUACUUGUUUUGCAGUUGACUCGGAUUGAAGGUCAAUUAAUCAUCACUGGGCACUCCCUGGGAGGAUCCGUUGCUUCUCUCUUCACCUUACGCCUGCUAGACGGCAAUUUAUUAAAGCCCAAAUGCCAUCCCUUUUGUAUCACCUUUGGUUCACCCCUCAUAGGCGACUUUGGCCUCCAAGACUCCAAAUGGAAUUCUUUCUUCCUGCAUGUAGUGUCUAACCAAGACCCAGUCCCCGGACUCUUCCUCCCAUCCGGCAGAUCUCCGCCCACAUCCUCCCAUUCACAAACUACCGGUUACAAGCCCUUUGGGACAUAUCUCUUGUGCUCUGAACUUGGUUGUGCUUGUUUUGACAACCCUGAUUUAAUUUUGAGAUUGCUGAAAGUCAUAUCAUCAGAGGUUGCCGGAGGAUUGCAGGAUGUUGAUUAUGGGGAGAUUUUAAGAAACCUCAAGGAGAGGGCAAUCUGCAAGGGACUGCCGCAGGUGGGUGAACGGUUUGCAGAUCCAUUUUCAGCUGGGAUCAUCAUGGAACUUGAGACAAUUGGAUUUAAUCAAACAAAGGUAAACAGCUUUCUCCCAUCUAAUGAUGUUAUGAAACAUGGUUUACACUUCACCAUAUACUGCAAUAACUGCCCUAUUCAGAUUUAUCUUCUUGUUCUUUGGGAUCUUCCAUAACUCGUCUCAUUUUUAAAAUUCAUGCCAGCUGCUGCAGCAUAACAUUGAUAUCGACGCUAUGAUAAGAACAAUGGAAGAGGAAACCAGAAGCCUAAUCCAGAAAAAUAAAGCUUCCGAUGCCAAGAAACUGAAUGACAUAAAAAGAGACAUGGCCCAUCUAGAAUGGUAUAAGAAGAAAUCGGAAAUGGGUUACUACGAUUGCUUCAAAAACCAGGGGUCUAAAAGGGACAUCCACGUUGAACAGUUUAGGGUAAACCUCACAAAAUACUGGAAAGACAUGGUUGCACAAGUACAGAGGAAGCCCCAGAAGGAAGGAGCAACAUUUCGAACCCGUUGGCUCUAUGCAGGGACAGUUUAUAGGAGAAUGGUUGAACCACUGGACAUUGCUGCCUUCUACGGAGAGGGUAAAACAGACUACAUAAACAAGAAAAGAUCUCUUCAUUACCAGCUGUUGCAGCAAUGGUAUGAGGAAGAUGUGAAACCCCCCUCUAGAGAUAAGCUUGAUUCCAAGAAGCAAAAGGUGUCUGGUAUCCUAACUGAGGAUUCUUUGUUUUGGGCAUAUGUGGAGGAGGCCAUCUUGUCAUGCGAAUUGCUCAAGAGUCAAAACUGUACUCUUGAGCAGGGAAAAUCAUCAUGGGAUAAUCUGGUUAAGUUCGAGGAGUAUGUAAUGGAACAGAUUAACAACUAUGCAGCGUCCCCUGAGAUUUUCUCGAGGGAAAGCAGCUUCAUGAAAUGGUGGGGACUGUAUGAGGGCUACAUAGAUACUUGCAGUAAUUCCCAUGGGUCGCCAUUGAUCAACUUCAUGAAGGAUCGUAGGUAUAUACAGUAUGGACGUUAGAGGGGCAAUCCAGUUUGUGUGUUGU